UACGGGGGGAGCAAGCGUUGUUCGGAUUUACUGGGCGUAAAGGGCGCGUAGGCGGCCACCGCAAGUCGACUGUGAAAUCUCUGGGCUUAACCCGGAAAGGUCAGCCGAUACUGCGGGGCUAGAGUGCAGAAGGGGCAACUGGAAUUCUCGGUGUAGCGGUGAAAUGCGCAGAUAUCAGGAGGAACACCGGUGGCGAAGGCGGGUCUCUGGGCCGAUACUGACGCUGAGGAGCGAAAGCGUGGGGAGCGAACAGG
rnacentral:rRNA from 1 species